UAGUUCUGACUCUACCCUCUGCUGAUACAUCCGAUAUAACACAAAUGACGCAUUGUCGAUCGCGUAACACUCUGGAAGUAGACUUGAACUGUAAAUUUUGAAUUUUGCAUUGUGAGGGAGGGGUGUGGUGGAGUUGUGGUGACAAGUGUUGGCUUGUGAAUAUGGUGUAGUUUUUAUAACAAACAAUUAUGGAUCAAUCAGACUGCUGAUAUCGUGCCACACUGCCACCAGUUGGAGAAACAAGAUUUUUGCCUAUAAAUCAAAAUCCGAGACACGAGUCGGCAUCAGUAUUUGUUUUGAUUUACCCUUUGAAGCACAGGGAACAUCUUUAUCCUGCCCUUAGGCCUUAGGCCUGCCACGUCUUCAACAUGUUCUUCAGCAGCCGCGUGACGCCGCUGGUGGCGGCCCUUCCCCUGGUGCUGCUUCUCUGCGUACAGACGGCGAUAGCACUUCAAAGGCCGCCGCUGAUCACCAAGCAGCCGCCGACGACCGAGCUGCUCUUCCAGGUGAAGCAGAGAAACGACGAGAACGACCGACCGUUUAUCAUCGAGUGCGAGGCCGAUGGCGAGCCGCAGCCCAGGUUCUCCUGGUUCAAGAACGGCAAGCCGUUCCACUGGCAGGUGUACGACAAGCGGAUGUCGAAACAGCCCGACCGGGGUACCCUGGUGAUCACCUCACCUAGCGACGAGGACAUAGGAGCGUACCAGUGCAAAGCGACCAACGAGCACGGCACGGCUACGUCCAACUCCGUGCACGUCCGGAAGUCGGACCUGAACUCGUUCAAGGUGGCGCCACCGGUCACCAUGUCAGCUAACGAGGGAGAGCCGAUAGUGCUCAACUGCGAGCCGCCGGAGGGCUACCCGGCGCCCCUGGUGCACUGGAUGUACCAGGGUGACGGCGGCUCUCUGUCGAGCAUCAACUCCUCUCGGAAGACGGUGGACCCUUUCGGAAACCUGUGGUUCAGCAACGUGACCCUGAAGGACGCCAGCGAGGGCUUCGUCUACGCCUGCUCGGCCACGUCACCCUUCCGGAGCGAGUACAAAGUCGGUAACCGCGUGAGUCUGAACGUGCUGCGCACGGGCAGCGUCAGCUCCAAGAACAAGCGGCAGCCGACGGAGCAGUACGUAUCGCCCAAGAACAUCGCAGCCAUCAAGGGCAGCACAGUCGAGAUCUGGUGUAUCUACGGCGGAACGCCGCUGCCACGCACCCAGUGGCAAAAAUCCAACGGGCCGCUAGACCUUAGCGACGGACGCAUCAAGAUGAACAACUUCGGAAAGUCGCUGGUGAUCCGGAAUGUGGACUUUAGUGACGAGGGCGAGUACGUGUGCACGUCCAGUAACGGCGUGGGCACGGCGCAGACACGCUCCUUCAAACUGCGCCUCGAGUCCGUGCCCGAGUUCACCAAAGAGCCCGAGGUGAAGAACGCUGCCGAGGGCGAGACGGUGGUGUUCGAGUGUGACGCCGUCGCCGUGCCCAAACCGGACAUCAAGUGGACGCACAACGGCCUGCCGCUGAGCGAGGCCGAGCCCAACCCGCGCCGCAUCGCCACCCCCAACAAGAUCACCAUCCGCGACCUGCGCAAGUCGGACACGGGCAACUACGGCUGCAACGCCACCAACAACAACGGCUAUGUCUACAAGGACGUGUACGUGAACGUGUUGGAGCUGCCGCCGGAGAUCGUGAAGCGGCCGCAGGACGUGGCCACGGUGCAGGGCACGGACGUGGAGAUGGUGUGUGAGGUGUUCGGCGCGCCUCUCCCGGAGGUGAAGUGGCUCUACGGAGGGGAGGACGGUGACGAGAGGACAGGGGGACGGUUCCAGACCGCUCCAGACGGCACGCUCACCAUCAAGCGCGUCUCCUCGUCGGACGCCGGUACCUACAUGUGUCUGGCCACCAGCCGACUGGGCAGCGACCAGGCAGAGGGAACGCUCGUCGUGAAAGAGCCGACCAAGAUCACACAGGGCCCGGAGGACUACCAGGUGGUGGCUGGCAACUCCGCCACGUUCCGGUGCACUGCCACUGUCGACCCGACCCUGGAGCUGAGCAUUGACUGGCUGGCCGACGGCGUACCCAUCAACUUUGAGACUGAGCCGAGGUUCAUCCAGACCUCGGACAACUCGCUGACCAUUACCAAGACGACCGAGCUCGACUCGAAGCGCUACACAUGUGUGGCCUCGACGGAGCUGGACAGUGCAGAGUCCAACGCUACGCUCAAGGUCGAGGACGUACCCAACGCGCCCGUCUUCAAACACGCCACCUGCAGGGAGCGUAGCGCCGACGUCGAGUGGGCCCCGAACGGCGACAACCGGGCGCCGAUCCUGCGCUACAUAAUCCAGUACAACACCAGCUUUACCCCCGACACCUGGGUGGAGGCGGCCGAGACCAAGAGCUCCGACAACAGCUACGUGGUGUCGCUGAGUCCGUGGUCCAACUACACCUUCCGAGUGAUUGCCGUCAACCGCGUGGGACCGUCCCUGCCGUCCGGCCACUCGGAGGUGUGCACGACGCCGAAAAAUCUGCCCGAGAAGAACCCGGAGAAUGUGGAGGGUCGCGGCACGGAGCCCGACAACCUGGUUAUCCGCUGGACGCCGAUGUCUGAGAUCGACCACAACGCGCGCAAGUUCCGCUACCGCGUCUACUGGAAGCGUAACGACACGGAUGACGAGUGGAACCAGGAGGUGGUGACCGACUGGCGCCGCAGCCACCUGCUGAUCCCCAACCAACCCACCUACGUGCCGUAUCGGAUACGGGUGGAGGCACAGAACGAGCUGGGCGAGAGCAAGGUCUCGCCCGUGGAGGUGAUCGGAUACUCCGGAGAGGACGUACCGACGGCGGCGCCAACUAAUUUCCGUCUGGUGCAGAUCCACGACGGCAAGCGAGCCACCUUCUCCUGGGACCCGGUGGACAACAGCACCCUGCGCGGAGAGUUCCUCGGUUACCGGAUUCAAACAUGGACGGAGAGUGAAGGACGCGAAAAGAUGCGCAAAAUGUCCUUCGAGUCGACGGCCACCAAGGGCCUGGUGGACAAGUUCAAGCCUCACGCGCGCAACAAGGUGCAGAUUCUGGCGUUCAACCGGGCCUACGAGGGUCCGCCCAGCGAGGUGAUCACCUUCAACACGCCAGAAGGACGACCCAGCGCCGUGGACUCUCUGGAGGCCAUCCCGAUGGGCUCAUCUGCCUUCUUCCUCAUCUGGAAGAAGCCUCUCGAGCCGAACGGCAUCCUGACCGGCUACAAGAUCCAGUACCAGACGGUGCAGAACCUGACCAUGGGCCCCCUGCUGGACCGCACGCCGCAUAUCGACGAUCCGCGCGUCACGCGGGCCAAGCUGGCUACUCUGAAGCCGUCGACCAAGUAUCGGAUCCACGUGCGCGCGCUGACGGCCGCCGGAGAGGGAGAGGCGUACUUCAUUGAGCGCACCACGCGCGACCCGAUGCCCCGCCCGCCGGACCGUCCCAGUCUGGUCUGGUCACACGUGCCCAAUGACGACGGCACCGAGGGGAACAACCUGAAGAUCACCUGGCUGCCCAACACGCAGGGCCGGCCGGGCUCGCACUUUUUCGUCCAGUACCGCCGACACGGAGAGAGCGACUUCCAGAAGACCCCGCCCGAGUACUACAACGAUAGUAUCGUGCUGCGGGACCUGGAGCCCGGAAUGGUGUACGAGAUCAGGACUGUGUCCGUGGACGGCGUCUACUACCAGGCCUCGGAUAUUGAGGAGGUGGAGACCUACUCUCCGAACGCUCCGUACGCUCGUCCCGUCGAGUCCGUCCACACCUCGGGCUGGUUCAUCGCCAUGAUGCUGGCCGUGGCACUGCUGCUUCUGAUCCUGGUCCUGGUCUGCAUCGUGCGCCGCAACCGCGGAGGAAAAUACGACGUUCAGGACCGCGAGAUCGCGCACGGGAGAGGAGACCUCUACCCGGAGGAUGGCUUCCAGGAGUACCAGCAGCCGCUGGAGGCGAAGAUGCCUCCGGGCGGUCGCGGCAGCGUCAGCUCGGACGUCAAACACCCGCACGAGAGUGACACGGACUCCAUGGCAGAGUACGGCGACGACCCGGCAGGUCAGUACGGUGACGACCCGGCAGGUCAGUACGGUGACGACCCGGCAGGUCAGUUCGGCGACGACCCGGCAGGUCAGUACGGUGACGACCCGGCAGGUCAGUACGGUGACGACCCGGCAGGUCAGUACGGCGACGACCCGGCAGGUCAGUUCGGCGGGCGCCGAGAGUCGCCGGUGGUCACCAAUCACUGCUGCCGGUCACUCUUAGAAUACAGCCAGUCACCGCUUGGAGUGUGAUUGUUCAUUUUUACCGCCUGCGCUUAUAAUUGGAUUUAGUUUUAUACAUGUUAUUGAUAAAUAGCUUGUUUUUAACCCGUAGAAUGAUAUUUUCUAUGUGUGUAUUAUUAGAUCAGUCAACUUACCACCAUAUUACGUUGCAGUUUUAAUGCCUUAUAUAAAGUUGGUUUCAUAAAUUAAGCAACAGUAUAAAUCUUUUUAUUAUGCUUGUGUCCACUUUUCAGUAUAUUUGUGCACGAGCUCGCUUUUUAUCACUAGAUGUGCCUUUCCGUUGUUGGUGGAUGACACGUCACCCCACGCCCGUUCGUGUUUACGUGACCCAAUACAUAUGACCUAGUCUGCCCCGCCCCUCCCCACGUGCACCCCUCCACUGCAUGGUGCGAACUGUUCCACCGGGUCGCUCCCCGCGCGACCCUGUCGGAGCCCCCGGUCGCCUGGUUCGGUUGUCCCGCCGCCGCCCGGUUCCGUUGUCUGUCUGUGUGCCCGCCGGCCGUCCGGCUCCGCCCCUCACGGCUCAGCUGUGUCCCACUGACGGUCCGGCCCCGCCGCGCCGUCGCAGAGGGUAUGAACGAGGACGGCUCGUUUAUCGGCCAGUACGGCCGCGGUCGGAGGCAGCACGGUGCUCCGAUGCCGCCGCCGGCCGUCGACAAAGUCGGUACCUUCGUCUAGCCGCCCGCCGCCGCCGCCGCCACCGCCGCCACGCACGGCCGUUUCACCGAGGACGGCUCGUUCAUUGGUCAGUACGGCGCACAGAAGCGCAAAGGCUCGCCGCCCACGGGUGCCGCCUACGUCUAGUGAACGAUGAACGUCUCCGGGGAGAACUGCCGGCCUCGCGGGCACCAGGAGAGGGCGAAAUUCUCGCGAAAUUGCGCGGAAAUCGUGCGGAAAUCGCUCGCGUUUCGUGCGUAAGUCGUGCGAGACUGUGCUGCUGCGUGGCGUGGUGGGAAAGUGCUGGUGUUCGGAGGGGUGAGAAAGGACAGGAAAGGGCCGCAGAGGGGCCAGAAAACUGAUCUGAUCUGAUUUGAAAGAUCGUGCGUCCCAUCACUAGAUCUGAGAUUGAUUGAUCUGAGGCACCGAUGAUCUGAUGUCACGUCUAAGAUCUGAGAUGAAGGAUCUGAGACGAAGCGUCUACCCCGGGAUCUGAAGACGCGGAGAGAGAGAGAAAGAACGAUAGCAUUCCUGUGCGCUAUUUUACCGACCGCUUCUGCCGUACCCGUGCCGGCCUCGCGGCGCGGUCGCUGGCUGCGCCUGGCAGUGUUUCUGUGCAGCUAUGAUUGUUUCCGGCGCCGCUGCCGGGGCGUGACGCCUCCCGAUCAUGCCAGAUCAUGUCAUUCCUGUCUGGGCGAGCCUGUACAUACAUAUAUUCCACACACAUAUGCAUACCGCCACGUCGAGCGCCGCCAGAAGAGAUCUCCGGUGGUCGCGCUGGCACCGUUAUCGUAGCUCGUGACAAAGAUUGGCCAUUAGUACUUUUGGACCAUUAAGCAUUUGAGUUCUAUUCAGGCUUCGUCAUUAUCAUUUGAAUGUGUUCGUCUUUUUAUGACAGGCUCACGACUUCUGGCGCUGUGGAGCUGCACUUUUUACGGCGAACGGCAGCCAGCCGUCCCUUCGUGAGCGAGAGAGUUUAUAUUUAGUGAUGGCGUCGGUUUCGUGUUUUGUUGGUUAGUCCGUUACAUUAUCAAUUUUCCAUUUUUGGUAUGUCGGGCUCAGCAUGAUUUGGCUGAGCGUAUGUGUGUUGAUACAUUUGUAAACGAGGCGCGUGUUAAGUGCCUAGAGCGUUAGUUCUUCCGCGCGAGUCGGACAGGGUUCGGUCGGGGCUUGGCUGCCGCAGCCGCACCGUCGCUACGUCAGCGUUUGGCCGCUGUUUCGCUCACCGUUUCCGGCUAUCUGCACACUGUGUUCUCUUGUGUCGUUCGACGCGCGCGAUCCGCCCCGUUCAGUAUGUAGGUGUGAGAGUGACGUGCGUAUUUUGAUGUCAAAUAAACACAGUCCGAACGCCAA